rnacentral:rRNA from 1 species
CCUGCCCAAGAGAUCGGGAUAACACCUGGAAACAGAUGCUAAUACCGGAUAACAACAGAUGAUGCCUAUCAACUGUUUAAAAGAUGGUUCUGCUAUCACUCUUGGAUGGACCUGCGGUGCAUUAGCUAGUUGGUAGGGUAACGGCCUACCAAGGCGAUGAUGCAUAGCCGAGUUGAGAGACUGAUCGGCCACAUUGAGACUGAGACACGGCCCAAACUCCUACGGGAGGCAGCAGCC